AUUGAACGCUGGCGGCAGGCCUAACACAUGCAAGUCGAACGGUAACAGGAAGACGCUUGCUUCUUUGCUGACGAGUGGCGGACGGGUGAGUAAUGUCUGGGAAACUGCCUGAUGGAGGGGGAUAACUACUGGAAACGGUAGCUAAUACCGCAUAACGUCGCAAGACCAAAGUGGGGGACCUUCGGGCCUCUUGCCAUCGGAUGUGCCCAGAUGGGAUUAGCUAGUAGGUGGGGUAACGGCUCACCUAGGCGACGAUCCCUAGCUGGUCUGAGAGGAUGACCAGCCACACUGGAACUGAGACACGGUCCAGACUCCUACGGGAGGCAGCAGUGGGGAAUAUUGCACAAUGGGCGCAAGCCUGAUGCAGCCAUGCCGCGUGUAUGAAGAAGGCCUUCGGGUUGUAAAGUACUUUCAGCGGGGAGGAAGGGAGUAAAGUUAAUACCUUUGCUCAUUGACGUUACCCGCAGAAGAAGCACCGGCUAACUCCGUG
rnacentral:rRNA from 1 species